AAGGGGAGAUAACUCUAAUUUGUUGACAUCACGGCCUCGAUGCAAAGCAUUGUAAAAUUCUUCAAAGAUGCAGUUCCGGCGAGGAUGAAUGAAACUAAUUCUCCACCGGAAACAGAAUGUAACGAUGAAACAACUACAGUAACGGAUCCGGAGCGAGAUGGGGAGCUGAAAAUACUCGCAGAAACUAUUUAUGAUAUUAUCCGUGAUGUGCGAGACCCGGAGAAGCCGGAGACUUUGGAGGAGCUGAGUGUUAUAUCCGAGGAAGGAGUCCAUGUCUCACGACUCCAGGGCGGUCAGCUGUUGGUCAAACUGACCUUCGUCCCCACUGUUCCUCACUGUUCUUUAGCAUCACUCAUAGGUCUAAGUCUGCGAACAAAGUUGGAAAAAUGUUUGCCUGAGCAGCACAAGCUUGACAUCUUCAUCAAAGAAGGAACCCACUCAACAGCUGAUGAAAUCAACAAGCAGAUCAAUGACAAGGAGAGGAUCGCUGCCGCCAUGGAGAACCCCAACCUGAGGGAGCUCAUCAACAAGUGCACCGAGGAACCAGAUGAUACGUACUGAUACAUGCAAGAUGAUACAUGCGGGCAUACCAGAUGAUACAUACUGAUACAUUAAAGAUGAUACAUGCAAGAUGGUACAUGCGGGCAUACAAGAUGGUACAUACAAGAUGGUACAUACAUACUGGUACAAUAUGAUACAUACAGAUACAUACAAGAUGAUACAUGCAGGCAUACAAGAUGAUACAUACAAGAUGGUACAUACAUACUGGUACAACAUGAUACAUACUGAUACAUACAAGAUAUAUCUUUCUGAUACAGUUAGGCAUACACGGAGAUGUUGCAGGGCAUUACUAGUUUAUUCACAGGUGACAGAGUGUUGCUUGAUCAGUAUUAUACAGAUGUAUAAGCACUGAUGUUUGAAAGCACUUGAGGAAAGUACUUCACAACAUUUCACAUAAAUUCAAAAUGAUGCUCACUGAUUGCGAUUGCUGUAUUUCUCUGAUUUGUGAAUAUUGAUUCCAUUUUGAUUCAGAAUAAUGUAUAUUGAAUCAGAAUUAUGUAUGGACAUUGAUUUGAAGGAUGUAUACAGUAAAAUGUAAAAAACAAGAUAGUACCAUGCUGUCCCUUGUCUCACUGUGGACAGAUAAAGCCCAGGUAGGACUCACUCCAAGAUGUUACAUGAGCUGUCUCGGAGUUCUGUUUCUGUCUGACACUGAUAAUAGAGACUCCUGGUAAUGAGAAAUUUCUCUACAAGCCAUCGGAGGGCAAGGUGAAGUAGGACUCCUAGUGAUGAUACAACACGAUACCCUAGAGGAAUUCACAUGUUGAUUUUACAAAUAAAAAGAGAAAUAAUUGAUAACACAUUGUAUCCCUUUUGUAAUGUGUUAUCAGUUAU
rnacentral:misc_RNA from 1 species